rnacentral:rRNA from 1 species
AAGUGAAAGACGGUCUUGCUGUCACUUAUAGAUGGAUCCGCGCUGCAUUAGCUAGUUGGUAAGGUAACGGCUUACCAAGGCAACGAUGCAUAGCCGACCUGAGAGGGUGAUCGGCCACACUGGAACUGAGACACGGUCCAGACUCCUACGGGAGGCAGCAGUAGGGAAUCUUCCGCAAUGGGCGAAAGCCUGACGGAGCAACGCCGCGUGAGUGAUGAAGGUCUUCGGAUCGUAAAACUCUGUUAUUAGGGAAGAACAUAUGUGUAAGUAACUGUGCACAUCUUGACGGUACCUAAUCAGAAAGCCACGGCUAACUACGUGCCAGCAGCCGCGGUAAUACGUAGGUGGCAAGCGUUAUCCGGAAUUAUUGGGCGUAAAGCGCGCGUAGGCGGUU